UUUCGUUCUUCUGAAAACUAAGCAGCAGAGCAUAAACAAACUGAUUGCUUCAUAAGAUUAUACUCGGAAAUGGAAAGUUUGGAAAGUCAUAGGGCCGUUGCGUUGUUCGCGUCGGCUCAUCAGAACAUCGAUAAGAAGAAUAGCUUUGCAUUUGUAUCUGAGGAGAUACGACGACAGAUGGAGAAUAUCAAAUCACAUAUCCUAACAAACGGGCAAGUUUCUUUAUUAGAUCACACAUAGGUUUUUAUCAUUCCUGUAUAUGUAUAUUAUACGAUGUUAUUAAUUAUUGUAAAGGAAAGUGUAAUAAUCCAGCCAAAUAUACGAGAGAACAUGUAGAAACGGGAAGUUUUUUUGAAAGGGCUGUAGCAUUGUUCUCGUUGGCUCGUAGAAACAUUGAGAAUAGAAUGAAAUCUGGAGCAGAGAUGAAGAAUUCCUCAGAAAUCGUAGCAUGUGUAUCCUCCAAGGAGAUACAUAAAGAGAUGGAGAAUAUUAAGUCCCAUAUCAUUACAAAUAGCAACCAUAUAAAGGUUAAGCUUGAGAAAGACUUUUAGUAUGUUAUGUUACACCCUGACCUUUUAUGUAUUGAUUUCUUGGGUCUUGUCC
rnacentral:misc_RNA from 1 species